GAUGAACGCUGGCGGCGUGCUUAACACAUGCAAGUCGAACGGAAAGGCCGAAGCUUGCUUCGGUACUCGAGUGGCGAACGGGUGAGUAACACGUGGGUGAUCUGCCCUGUACUUCGGGAUAAGCUUGGGAAACUGGGUCUAAUACCGGAUAUGACGAUCUCUUGGAUGGGGUUGUGGAAAGCUUUUGCGGUAUGGGAUGAGCUCGCGGCCUAUCAGCUUGUUGGUGGGGUAAUGGCCUACCAAGGCGUCGACGGGUAGCCGGCCUGAGAGGGUGUACGGCCACAUUGGGACUGAGAUACGGCCCAGACUCCUACGGGAGGCAGUAGUGGGGAAUAUUGCACAAUGGGCGCAAGCCUGAUGCAGCGACGCCGCGUGGGGGAUGACGGCCUUCGGGUUGUAAACUCCUUUCGCAAUCGACGAAGCCUUUUGGUGACGGUAGGUUGAGAAGAAGCACCGGCUAACUACGUG
rnacentral:rRNA from 1 species